AACGAACGUUAGCGGCGCGCCUAACACAUGCAAGUCGCACGAGAAAGGGCUUCGGCCCCGGUAAAGUGGCGCACGGGUGAGUAACACGUGGGUAAUCUGCCUUCGAGCGGGGGAUAACGACCCGAAAGGGUCGCUAAUACCGCAUAAGACCACGACCUCGAAAGAGGAUGCGGUCAAAGCUGGCCUCUAUACAUAAGCUAGCACUUGAAGAUGAGCCCGCGGCCCAUCAGCUAGUUGGUAGGGUAAUGGCCUACCAAGGCGAAGACGGGUAGCUGGUCUGAGAGGAUGAUCAGCCACACUGGAACUGAGACACGGUCCAGACUACUACGGGAUGCAGCAGUGGGGAAUCUUGCGCAAUGGGCGAAAGCCUGACGCAGCGACGCCGCGUGAGUGAUGAAGGCCUUCGGUUUGUAAAGCUCUGUGGGGAGAGACGAAUAAGUGCGGGCUAAUACUCCGCAUGAUGACGGUAUCUCCUUAGCAAGCACCGGCUAACUCUGUGCCAGCAGCCGCCGUAAUAC
rnacentral:rRNA from 1 species